rnacentral:tRNA from 1 species
GCGGGUGUAGCUCAAUGGUAGAGCAGAAGCCUUCCAAGCUUACGACAGGGGUUCGAUUCCCCUCACCCGCU